GUACAUCCCAAGUAGGCGAGGGGGCAUCGAUGCUGGAACCAGCCAUUGAGACACGACUGAAUGUCGGUGUGGACAUUCUUGAAGUGCAGGGGAAAUUCAUCCCUCCGGAAGAAUUUGUUGCAGGUAAAAGUAAAAGCUGAGCUGCUUUUGUUGUGUCUUCUGGUCACACACUCACUGUGGAGCUCCACAUGCAGGCCCCCGGAUUGGGUAGUGCCUAGGAGGUCAGCCAACACUGUCUCUGAGGAAAACUGUUCUGACUCAAAGUUGUAUGUUUGGGUGGCGAGAUCCAUAAAGAGUCCAUCGAUGCUCCUGGACUCAGAGAUGACGUGGCCUUUGAGUUCUCUUUCCAAAGCACACUGGAGGGUGGUCUUGAUGAGAUCGGAUUUGGGCAGGUCCUCCACAGAGAUGCCCAAGUCGGAAGUAUCCACGGCCUUGUGCUCACUUGGUCUGCACCUCAACAUGGCAUCUCCCAAGCGAGCUCGCUUCCCGCAGUAGCUCACGGGAAUUUUGAAGGUAUAAACCGUCUUCACUUCUUGAGCUUCGAGGUUGCCGUAAACGAAGUCUCUCUCCUUGGGCGUAC
rnacentral:lncRNA from 1 species